rnacentral:misc_RNA from 1 species
GAUGAAGAACGUAGCGAAAUGCGAUAAGUAAUGUGAAUUGCAGAAUUCAGUGAAUCAUCGAAUCUUUGAACGCACAUUGCGCCCGCCAGUAUUCUGGCGGGCAUGCCUGUCCGAGCGUCAUUUCACCACUCAAGCCUCGCUUGGUAUUGGGCAACGCGGUCCGCCGCGUGCCUCAAAUCGACCGGCUGGGUCUUCUGUCCCCUAAGCGUUGUGGAAACUAUUCGCUAAAGGGUGUUCGGGAGGCUACGCCGUAAAACAACCCCAUUUCUAAGGUUGACCUCGGAUCAGGUAGGGAUACCCGCUGAACUUAAGCAUAUCAAUAAGCGGAGGA